GUAGGUGGCAAGCGUUGUCCGGAAUCAUUGGGGCGUAAAGCGCGCGCAGGCGGUUCUUUAAGUCUGAUGUGAAAGCCCACGGGCUCAACCGUGGAGGGUCAUUGGAAGCUGGAGAACUUGAGUACAGAAGAGGAAAGCGGAAUUCCACGUGUAGCGGUGGAAUGCGUAGAGAUGUGGAGGAACACCAGUGGCGAAGGCGGCUUUCUGGUCUGUAACUGACGCUGAGGCGCGAAAGCGUGGGGAGCAAACAGGAUUAGAUACUCUGGUAGUCCACGCCGUAAACGAUGAGUGCUAAGUGUUAGGGGGUUUCCGCCCCUUAGUGCUGCAGCUAACGCAUUAAGCACUCCGCCUGGGGAGUACGGCCGCAAGGCUG
rnacentral:rRNA from 1 species